CAGCGACUCAGUGGACAUCAGCGGCAGCCUGCCUGAUUAUGAAAGGUAAGUAACUGUUAAUAUAAUGUUAAUAUAAUUUUAUGAUGUAUAUAACUGUUAUUACAUUAAGUAAUGUGUACUGAAACGUUAAUUAAAUCGUAAAACUAUUUAAAAAACGAAGUUUUAAUUCCCUUUAGUCAGUUCUUCCCCAGAUCGAUUGUAAAUGAAUAUGCUAUUCCCGUUUGCUUGCUAGCAUUAAUAAAUAAAAACAUUAGCUGAAAGACUAGCAAAACCGUUUAGAGAAGUAUUACUUAACGUUAAUAAAAAUGUCUGGUGAAAUGUGAAAGGGCGCCGAAAUCUUUAGGCUAGAAAAGCCGCACGGACCAUUUAUCGGAUCGGACCAGUGCCUGAAGCUGCUCGAGCGAGCCGAGCUCACACAUCAGUCAUACGACAGACACCAAGCGUUUGAAUUCGCUGAAUUUUCUGUUAUAGAAGUUCAAAACUCAGACGAAAGAGCAGAGUCAUAAAUGGAUUUGUGGAUUUUGUAAAGCAAAGAUUACAACAGCGGAACCUCUGCAAUUUAAUAGAAACAUUUCAAGGUUGGUACUAAUAUGGUCCACUACCUCAACAAUGAGACAAGCCAGGAUCCACAUGUCUUGGUGCUUGGAGACAAAGAAAAUUCCUCCCAAGUUUUCAUCAUUUUCAUUGGAGAGGCAGUUGAAAAGGAGACCUUACUUCAAGCAGUGAAUGAAUGCUUCAAAACGUUCUACAUCUAUGACGUAAACUACCCAAAGCCCUCUGCUCCAAUUUGGGAGUUCUUGCAGCAUGCAGUCUAUAAUAUUCCUGGAGGAGUUCCUUCUACACAUUGCUGCCUCCUAAAAAACUUUGUAUUCAAAGUUACUGAUCAUCAGUUGAUCCAGUAGCCAAAAC
ensembl:lncRNA